UGCUGUGCAGGGAGGAGGCAG
rnacentral:misc_RNA from 1 species